GACGAACGCUGGCGGCGUGCUUAACACAUGCAAGUCGAACGGAAAGGCCCUGCUUUUGUGGGGUGCUCGAGUGGCGAACGGGUGAGUAACACGUGAGUAACCUGCCCUUGACUUUGGGAUAACUUCAGGAAACUGGGGCUAAUACCGGAUAGGAGCUCCUGCUGCAAGGUGGGGGUUGGAAAGUUUCGGCGGUUGGGGAUGGACUCGCGGCUUAUCAGCUUGUUGGUGGGGUAGUGGCUUACCAAGGCUUUGACGGGUAGCCGGCCUGAGAGGGUGACCGGCGACAUUGGGACUGAGAUACGGCCCAGACUCCUACGGGAGGCAGCAGUGGGGAAUAUUGCACAAUGGGCGGAAGCCUGAUGCAGCAACGCCGCGUGCGGGAUGACGGCCUUCGGGUUGUAAACCGCUUUCGCCUGUGACGAAGCGUGAGUGACGGUAAUGGGUAAAGAAGCACCGGCUAACUACGUG
rnacentral:rRNA from 1 species